rnacentral:rRNA from 1 species
AAGCGGUGGAUGAUGUGGAUUAAUCGAUGCAACGCGAAAACCUUACCUACCUGACAUGUCCGGAAUCCGAAGAGAUUUGGGAGUGCUCGCAAGAGAGCCGGAACACAGGUGCUGCAUGGCCGUCGUCAGCUCGUGUCGUGAGAUGUUGGGUUAAGUCCCGCAACGAGCGCAACCCUUGUCAUUAGUUGCCAUCAUUUGGUUGGGCACUCUAAUGAGACUGCCGGUGACAAACCGGAGGAAGGUGGGGAUGACGUCAAGUCCUCAUGGCCCUUAUGGGUAGGGCUUCACACGUCAUACAAUGGUCGGUACAGAGGGUUGCCAACCCGCGAGGGGGAGCUAAUCCCACAAAGCCGAUCGUAGUCCGGAUCGCAGUCUGCAACUCGACUGCGUGAAGUCGGAAUCGCUAGUAAUCGUGGAUCAGCAUGUCACGGUGAAUACGUUCCCGGGUCUU